GCCCAGGUGGCGGAAUUGGUAGACGCGCCAGCUUCAGGUGCUGGUUAUCGUAAGGUAGUGGAGGUUCAAGUCCUCUCCUGGGCACCA
rnacentral:tRNA from 1 species